rnacentral:rRNA from 1 species
UACGUAGGCAGCUAGCGUUGUUCGGAAUUACUGGGCGUAAAGCGAGUGUAGGCGGUUUGCCAAGUCCGUUGUGAAAUCUCCCGGCUCAACUGGGAGGGUGCGGCGGAAACUGGCAGGCUAGAGUACGGAAUGGGAGAGUGGAAUUCCUGGUGUAGCGGUGAAAUGCGUAGAUAUCAGGAGGAACACCGGUGGUGAAGACGGCUCUCUGGACCGUUACUGACGCUGAGACUCGAAAGCGUGGGGAGCAAACAGG